ensembl:rRNA 5S_rRNA 5S ribosomal RNA
GCUUACGGCCACACCGCCUGGUUCACGCCCGAUCUCGUUUGAUCUCGGAAGCUAAGAUAGGUGGGGCCUGGUUAGUACUUGGAUGGGAGACCGCCUAGGAAUACCAGGUGCUGUAAGGC